rnacentral:rRNA from 1 species
AUAGAUGGACACGAAUAGGCCUCUGGCUUAGCGUCUUAGCAGGCAAAGAACGCCAACGCUCUGGAAACGGGUGUUGGUACUUUGCGAAUUGUAAUUUCAGCACGAGCGGGGUCGAAUCCCUUGCAGACGACUUUSAUGUGCGAAAGGGUCCUGUAAGCAGUAGAGUAGCCUUGUUGUUACGAUCUGCUGAGGGUAAGCCCUACUUCGCCUCGAUUUCC